UCAAUUUUUCUCUAUUUUUGAUCAGAAAUCCCAAAACCUACGAUGAAGACGUGGCGGCCGAUGAAUACAAUGACAUUUCCGGCGAGAUGUUCGAUUGGCUCCAGCGAGAUUUUCGACGAGUUCCAGCGAGAUGUUCGACGGGCUCGAACAAAGCGACGAUGAAAUUGAAAUGGAGUCGUCUGUGGCUGAUGCAGAGUCGGCGAUUCGGGACGAGGAAUUCAGGUGGCAGAGAGUGGAGAAGCUCUGCGAAGAUGUGAAGCAGUUCGGCGAGGAAAUGAUUGACGAUGACUCUCUCGCCUCUAUCUACGAUUUCCGAAUCGAUAAAUUUCAGGUGCAUUGGAUUUGAUGAAGAUAUGCUUUAGUCUGCGAGAGUUUCAUCUGUUUUGCUUGACAGAGUGAUUCAAAUGAUGUAAUGAUCUACCUAUACCUCUGCAUUGCAUUGAAUUUUCGGCUUAUAUAUGCCACCUUUGAUGGAAUACAUAGUCUCCGUGCUCUCGGUUUUGAGGUGCGGUGAGGCGUUUCUGCCUCUGGACCCUUCCUGGCCAAAACAGAGGCUACUCUCCGUGUGGUUUUCUAUAGGUGGAGAGUUUGUGACAGUGAGUGAUGGAGGAGAGUGUAGGCGUGAGAGUGAGAAAGAGGAUGAGAGGCUGUUCUGUUAUGUAAUGUACAGUUCGGGCUCGACGGGGAAGCCGAAAGGUGUUUGUGGCACUGAACAAGGUCUUUGGAAUCGAUUUCUGUGGAUGCAAGAAUUGUAUCCACUGAAUGGAGAGGAGGUUUUGUUGUUCAAGACAGCAAUAAUCUUUGUUGAUCACUUUCAAGAAUUUCUUAGCGCUAUUCUUACUGGUUCUGCUUUGGUUAUACCUCCUUUCAAUCAACUUAAACAGAAUGUGUUCUCCAUUGUGGAUUUUCUACAGUGAUUCAAACUAGGAUUAGAACUGUUUGAUUCAAACAUGGUACAUGACCUUCGCUUAUUGUUUGUUUGGCUUUUCGUACUCAGAUUAUAUUCUUGAACUAGGAUUAGAACUGUGUUAGAAUACUACAUUUCAUAAAGGUAACUGGAUGUCAAUUACUCAAGACUACAAUACUUGAAAAUUUUUCAUGUGGUCUUGACAUGUGAAAUUUUAAUUUUUGGGAGGGAUUAUAGGAAAACACAUAUCUUGGAUUUGUAGUAGGCACGGGAUGUGGGUUGUAAUUAGUUGAUUAGUUUGAUCAGGGAAAAAGAGCAUAUGCUAGGAAGAAAACAGAUAUACGGAACUGUGCCUUUGAAAUUCAAUGGCUUGCAUCCUUUUCCAACAUGAAAUUCAAGCCAUAUUAGGCUACUAGUUAGGGAUCCACGUGCUGAUCAUAGAUUCAUAAUAACAGACUUUUGGCUCAUAUUUUGGUUCUAAUAUUGUAUACUUGAUAACAAUCAAAUGAUUGCACAGUGAAGGCUAUAUUUAGUGCAAAGUACUAAUUAAAAGAAAGCUCUGGUUUUGCUUAUCACUUUAUUGGUUAAUUGAGUUGCCUUCAGUCCAGAUGAAGCUUUUAGCUAAAUGGUCUAAUUUUGUGAUAAUGUUUUAGUUUUCUAUGGUCCUAUGCAGUGGUUGAUUAUGAUGCUUGGAUAUUUAUCUGUAUUAUGAGUAGUGGCCUUCUGUAGGGUUUCUCUAUAUGAAAACAUAUAUAUACUUGGUUAGUUGGCUGGUGUUUAACUGUUUUUGAUCAGCUAAUGUGCUAUUUCGUGACAGGAGAUAGAACUAAUGUGAUGUGGAACCUGAAUAAGCUACAACACAUCCACAAUUUAAAUUAUUCCUAUUCUGGAGGUGUAGUCUUGGCUUCUCGAGAUGGGAAGAUUGUGCAUGACAACACUCUCGAUGCACGGUUGGAUGUUGUAUUCAGUAUUCUGUAAAAAAACUUCCUGAGAUCCGCAUACGGCUUUUCAAUCAGGUUGUUGCAUAAUGGGAAGAAUUAUAUUUCAAGUCAUUAGUUCCUAGCAUGGUCUUUGACCAAAGGAUCUAUUGUUCAGUUGUUUAUUUAUGUAUUUCCAAUUUUCAUGUUCUCUGAAUAACUUUCACGGUAAAAUAGUUUAACCAUCAUCUUCUAUGGUGGUCAUAUGGUCUGGGGCAUGGCAAUGUACUCAUUCUUAUCAUUACAAUGAUAUUAAAAAAAGGGGUUAUUAUCACAAAUGGUACCUGAACUAUACCUCAAUCUUAUCGAUGGUACCUGAACUUCAAUUUUGAUCACAACCAGUACCCGAACUUUUCGAUUUCAUUUUAAAUGGUACCUAGAGCCACCUCCGGUCACUAUUCCGACUAAAAACGGCAUGGGAGGCAAUCAUAGUGAUGAUUUUUGAUGAUUUCAAGGGUUGCAAUCAUAUAUAGUGAUGAUUUUUUGGUAAUAUACUUGCCUUGAACUUGUUUCUUUUUUCUUUUUUUUUUAGAUUUGGCUUUUUUGGCCGGAAUAGUGACCGAAUGUGGCCUUAGGUACCAUUUAAAAUGAAAUCGAAAAGUUCGGGUACUGGUUGUGAUCAAAAUUGAAGUUCAGGUACCAUCGAUAAAAUAGAAGAUAAGUUCAGGUACCAUUUGUGAUAAUAACCCUAAAAAAAGUUUGCAGCUAUAUUUUCACUGCAUUUUGUUGGUUAAGUUUUCUUUCCUAGUUAUUAAAUGGGAAAAUUACUGAUCCCCCCUUUAACUUUUGGUGCGUCGACAGUUCAGUCCCUAUUAUUCCAAUUUUAACAGAUAACUCCCCAAACAUUCAAAUUUCACACAAUUUGAUCCAAAAUUAUCAUUUUACCCCUCACUUAUUUUUUUUUGUUUUUUGUUUUUAUUCUUCUCUCUCUCUCUUUUAUACAUAUGUAUAUAUAUGUGUGUGUGUGUGUGAGUAUACAUGUAUGUAUGU